AGAGUUUGAUCCUGGCUCAGGACGAACGCUGGCGGCGUGCCUAACACAUGCAAGUCGAACGAGAAUCUUUGGAAUGAUUCUUUCGGGAUGAAUUCCAAAGAGGAAAGUGGCGGACGGGCGAGUAACGCGUGAGUAACCUGCCCAUAAGAGGGGGAUAAUCCAUGGAAACGUGGACUAAUACCGCAUAUUGUAGUUAAGUUGCAUGACUUGAUUAUGAAAGAUUUAUCGCUUAUGGAUGGACUCGCGUCAGAUUAGAUAGUUGGUGAGGUAACGGCUCACCAAGUCAACGAUCUGUAGCCGAACUGAGAGGUUGAUCGGCCGCAUUGGGACUGAGACACGGCCCAGACUCCUACGGGAGGCAGCAGUGGGGAAUAUUGCGCAAUGGGGGCAACCCUGACGCAGCAACGCCGCGUGCAGGAAGAAGGUCUUCGGAUUGUAAACUGUUGUCGCAAGGGAAGAAGACAGUGACGGUACCUUGUGAGAAAGUCACGGCUAACUACGUGCCAGCAGCCGCGGUAAUACGUAGGUGACAAGCGUUGUCCGGAUUUACUGGGUGUAAAGGGCGCGUAGGCGGACUGUCAAGUCAGUCGUGAAAUACCGGGGCUUAACCCCGGGGCUGCGAUUGAAACUGACAGCCUUGAGUAUCGGAGAGGAAAGCGGAAUUCCUAGUGUAGCGGUGAAAUGCGUAGAUAUUAGGAGGAAUACCAGUGGCGAAGGCGGCUUUCUGGACGACAACUGACGCUGAGGCGCGAAAGUGUGGGGAGCAAACAGGAUUAGAUACCCUGGUAGUCCACACCGUAAACGA
rnacentral:rRNA from 1 species